rnacentral:rRNA from 1 species
GUAGGUGAACCUGCGGAAGGAUCAUUGUCGAUACCUGCCCAGCAGAGAGACCCGCGAACAAGUUGCUAACCAUCGGGGGGCAAAGGGCGGUGGGGGCGUGAGCCCCUUCCUCCCCGACCCUCCCGUAAGGGGUCGGCCCCUCGUGGGAUCCGACCCGAAACAAAACCACCGGCGCGGUUGGCGCCAAGGAACUCACAACGGAAUGGGCGUGCCAUCGUCGCACCUUUGGUGCGGCGUCCGGCCGUCUCGAAGUCCGAAACUCAAUAACGACUCUCGGCAACGGAUAUCUCGGCUCUCGCAUCGAUGAAGAACGUAGCGAAAUGCGAUACUUGGUGUGAAUUGCAGAAUCCCGUGAACCAUCGAGUCUUUGAACGCAAGUUGCGCCCUAGGCCAUCAGGUUGAGGGCACGCCUGCCUGGGCGUCACGUAUCGCGUCGUCCACCCCUCCCUCGUCCACGUGACGAUGGAGCGCGGAUCGGAGAUUGGCCCCCCGUGCCGCAUCUGCGUGGUGCGGUCGGCCUAAAUACGAGUCCACGUGUGGCGAGCGUCACGACGAGUGGUGGUUGUAGCCACUUUGCCAUCAGCCAGGACGUCGUGUCCGCUUUUGUCCGCCUCACGGAGCUCUGACGUAACCCUUAUCGCGUGUCGUCUCACGACGGCAUCUUCGACCGCGACCCCAGGUCAGGCGGGGCUACCCGCUGAG